UACGUAGGUGACCAGCGUUGUCCGGAUUUACUGGGCGUAAAGAGCGCGCAGGCGGUCGUUCAAGUCGAGUGUGAAAGCCCCCGGCUCAACUGGGGAGGGUCAUUCGAUACUGAUCGACUCGAAGGCAGGAGAGGGAAGCGGAAUUCCCGGUGUAGUGGUGAAAUGCGUAGAUAUCUGGAGGAACACCGGUGGCGAAGGCGGCAUCCUGGACCGGUAUUGACGCUGAGGCGCGAAAGCCAGGGGAGCAAACGGG
rnacentral:rRNA from 1 species